AAGGUUAUAAAUCAACGCAUUGAUUUAUAAGCAUGGAAAUCCCCUGAGUGAAACAACGAAUUGCUGUGUGUAGUCUUUGCCCAUCUCCCACGAUGGGCUUUUUUUUAU
rnacentral:other from 1 species